rnacentral:rRNA from 1 species
AGCAUGUGGUUUAAUUCGAUGCAACGCGAAGAACCUUACCUGGCCUUGACAUGGUAGGAACCCUUAAGAGAUUAGGGGGUGCUAGCUUGCUAGAACCUACACACAGGUGCUGCACGGCUGUCGUCAGCUCGUGUCGUGAGAUGUUGGUUAAGUCCCGCAACGAGCGCAACCCUCGUCCUAUGUUAUAUGUGUCAUACGAGACUGCCGGUAAAAGCCGGAGGGAGGUGAGGAUGAUGUCAAGUCAGCAUGACCUUUAUAUCCAGGGCUACACACACGCUACAAUGGUCUGUACAAUGGGUAGCCAAGCCGCGAGGCGGAGCCAAUCCUGAAAGCAGGCCUCAGUUCAGAUUGCAGUCUGCAACUCGACUGCAUGAAGCCGGAGUUGCUAGUAACCGCAGGUCAGCAAUACUGCGGUGAAUACGUUCCCGGGUCUU